rnacentral:lncRNA from 1 species
CCGUCGUGAGUGGCCUUGCCUUCACUGUGUCGUCUAGGUCGCUCUGAUACGUAACGGGAUGGGGUUUAAUGUUAUACAUGCUUCAUUCUCUUACGUGACUAAUAUGUUAUUUUUAUAAUGUUAUGGAUUACGAUAUGAACUGUUUUGAUGGGGCCUACGUGCCAAACUGAUUUAUGGAUUAUGAAUUAAAUUCCGCUGCAAUGUUUACGACUUUUGGUUAAAUUAUUAUUUAACUGUUUU